GACGAACGCUGGCGGCGUGCUUAACACAUGCAAGUGGAGCGACGAACCGGGGGCUUGCCCCGGGGCAGAGCCGCGAACGGGUGAGUAACACGUGGGUAACCCACCCCGAUGACCGGGACAACCCGAGGAAACUCGGGCUAAUACCGGAUGUGCUCCUUGACCUCGAGGUCAAGGCGUAAAGAUAGCUUCGGCCUUCGCAUCGGG
rnacentral:rRNA from 1 species